ACUCCAGUCUUCUUGCCUGUAGAAUUCCAUGGGAUCGCAAAGAGUCAGACACAACUGAGCAACUAACACUUUCAAUCUAUUAUAUAAUAGUAUAUACUGUAAUAUUAUACAUAAUUUAAUGAUAGUAGAUAUGUUGAAUAUGUUUAUUAAAUAAUCAAAUUAUUAACUAUCAAAUCUAAGCUUAAUGUAAAUAUUAAUACAUAUAUAUGUGAAAUCUCAGAUAGUGAUAAGUGUUAUGAAAAAAAUAUAGCAUGGAAUAAAGCAGCUAGGGGUGAGCCAGGGGUAUUAUUGUUUAUUUGUGGAUGGUGUCAGGGAGGCCACUGUGAUAAGGUGACAUCUGAGCAGAGACCUCAAGGAAGAAGGGGAGGGUUGUGCUGCUCUAGGGGAAGAACUCUCCAGGCAGAUACUCCAGGGGCAGAGUCUCUGUGUGUGUGUCUGAGGAACCUCAAGAAGGCCCCGAGGCUAGCACAGAGGGAGCAGGAAAGCAGUGUCAGCAGGUGAGGCCAGGGAGGUGACCAGCCCACGUAUGGCAUGCUGUGGACCACUGUCAGGACCUUGGCUUGUAUCUGGAAUGAGCUGAGAUGCUUUGGCUGGUUAUUACCCGAGGGGUGACAGGACCCUAUCUACUGAAAACAAAACAACACAGGGGCACUCUGAUUGCUGAGUAGAAAACAGACCCAGGGCAGCUAAACAGAGCUGAGAGACUGUUUCAGAACACUUGCUGAUAAUUCAGGCCAGAGGUGAUGCCAGCUGCUGCUGACAAGCCAAGUCCCAUGCAACCAAGAACUGACCACUGGAUUCGGCCAUGCGGAAGCUCUGGUGACAUAAUCAAGGGCGGUUUCAGGGGCGAGGAUGCAGGGCUGACCCAAGUAGUUCAAGAGAAGAUGGGAGAAGAGGAACAUGGCAGUAACAGAAGAGGGAACAUGGGGCCAAAAGAGGAUAGUGGGGGGUAGUGGUGAAUAGCAGGCUCUUCAGGUGCUGAGGACAGGAUCCCAUGAAGAGUGACUUCAUGGGAACAAAAGGAAACAGAAGCUGGAGAGAUGUAAUGGGGCUGUUCCUCUGUUCCUCUGAAGGGGCAGAGCUUAGAUAGACUCUCCCAGAGAUAGUUUGCAGAUAUGGGAGAGAAGGCAGUGUAGACGAGUGGGUGGGUAGGUGAGAUGGUAGGGUGUGAGGAAGCCCUCUUCUCACUGUCUACUUUUUCACUGGAAUAGAAAGGUCACAUUCACACAAAAUCAGCAAAGGGUGAAUUUGGAGAUUUGCAGAAAGAGGAUCUGAUCAUUUCCAGAGAAGAGCGGGUUUCCCUGAUAGCUCAGUUGGUAAAGACUCCACCUACAAUGUGGGAGACCUGGGUUCAAUCCCUGGGUUGGGAAGACCCCCUGGAGAAAGGAAUAGCUACCCACUCCAGUAUUCUGGCCUGGAGAGUUCCGUGGACUGUAUAGUUUAUGGGGUCGCAAAGAGUCAACACAACUGAGCGACUUUCACUUUCCCUUUCAGAGAGAAAAGAGGUUGUGAAACUUUCUCCUAGGAGACCAAGAGGGUGAAGGAAUCACGGAAUCCUCCUGGGGAUUUGCAGGCACACAGAGAUACUUCCUGAGUCUCAAGGCAUCAGACCAGAGCACCCAACUAAGGAAACUCGAGACCAUGAGAAGCCACUGGAAGUCUGUGAGCAGGAGAAUGACAUUGUAACAUGACCAAAGGGCCAUCAAGAAGAGCAGACUUGUGGAGGUGCUCGCCCGGUUCAGUCAGGCACAGAGAGUGAGAAAUCACAGGGCAGAGAAACCCUCUUUCUGGGUUUCAGGCAGCAAACUGGCAGAGGAGGACAUGUAAGGAACAUGUCUGCAUGCAGAUGGCAGCUCAGCUUUGGCCCCACUGUAUCCACACCCUGGGCAUACACACUUGGCAAUAUUUGGAGACAUGAGACCACAAGAUAGAAAUGUACUUAUUCUUAGAAAAGACAUUUGGAUGUGAAAAGCCAGUUCAUCUGUGCAGAUCUGGGUGAAUUACAUGGCUUGAGCCACAGCACAUGACGUUCAGUAGCUGAAGACAAACGGAGAUAAUUCUGAAGUCACUCUCAGCAGAGACAAGGUAUCUGUCGCACUGUGGAUAACAGACACCUUCAAAUGCACUCAGCCUGGUUCUCUUCCAGUUCUGUUUCAACCUACUUUCCCAGCCCCAGUCGACACCACUCUCGCGGCUGUAGCCUGAGAAAGGAAGUGACCCUCUGAGAUGAGAGGGUUUCCCUAGUGACAUCCAUCCAGCUGGCCACAGUGGGGGCUCGUCUGGGGCCCACACAGUCAGGCCAUCAGAAUGUGCCAAGAUCAGCAAUAAUAAGGUCUUUGCACAGAAUUCCUUCAUCAUGAGGGGAAAGCAGGUUGGACUGAGACAGACCUGAACCCAGCCCUCGCUUCUAACAUACUCAGCCAAUGGAACCGAACUACACUUAGAGAAUACUCUGACUGAAGAGACAGAAGGAGAGAGAAAGAGAAGAGAUAAACCAAGGUCAUGGCUGAAAAACUUCAGAUACUUUUGCAAAUCAGACCGAAGCACUAUAUCAGCUAAAAGGUCAAAGCAUCUUAUAGAUAAAGUCCCAGUGGCUUUGGUCCUGGAAAGUGGCUCCUGCCAGAAAGCUCCAUUCAGAUCUACAGAGUGAUGGCUUUUAUCUAUUUAGUCCUACACGCUCCCAAACUUUAUCAUCAUUGUCUUCUAAUUGGUCUUGAUACCAAGCUCAGGGGCCUAAUGAAAUCAGCAAGCACAACUCUGAACGGAAAGAAGAAAAUCAACUUGUGUUAAAGCAACUCUGAAUGGAAAGAAGAAAACCAACUUGUGUUUGGCAUUUGAUAAAAUACCUGUCCUAGAGAAGAUUCUUGAGAGCCCCUUGGACUGCAAGGAGAUCAAACCAGUCAAUCCUAAAGGAAAUUAAACCUGAAUAUUCAUUGGAAGGACAGAUGCUGAAGCUGAAGCUCCAAUACUUCAGCCA